AUUGAACGCUGGCGGCAGGCCUAACACAUGCAAGUCGAACGAGUGGCGGACGGGUGAGUCAUGUCUGGGAAACUGCCCGAUGGCGGGGGAUAACUACUGGAACCGGUAGCUAAUACCGCAUACCCUCGGAUGUGCCCAGAUGGGAUUAGCUAGUAGGUGGGGUAACGGCUCACCUAGGCGACGCUGCCUAGCUGGUCUGAGAGGUUGACCGGCCACACUGGAACUGAGACACGGUCCAGACUCCUACGGGAGGCAGCAGUGGGGAAUAUUGCACAAUGGGCGCAAGCCUGAUGCAGCCAUGCCGCGUGAAUGAAGAAGGCCUUCGGGUUGUAAAGUACUUGCAGCGGGGAGGCGUUACUCGAAGAGAAAGCACCGGCUAACUCCGUGCCAGCAGCCGCGGUAAUAC
rnacentral:rRNA from 1 species